rnacentral:rRNA from 1 species
UACGAGGGGGGCGAGCGUUGUUCGGAAUCACUGGGCGUAAAGCGCACGUAGGGGAUGUUAGUCAGGGGUGAAAUCCUGGAGCUCAACUCCAGAACUGCCUUUGAUACUGGCGAUCUUGAGUCCGGGAGAGGUGAGUGGAACUGCGAGUGUAGAGGUGAAAUUCGUAGAUAUUCGCAAGAACACCAGUGGCGAAGGCGGCUCACUGGCCCGGUACUGACGCUGAGGUGCGAAAGCGUGGGGAG